ensembl:lncRNA
CAGCGUUUUUAGUAAUAAUACUUGUAGCUUUUUAGUUUCCUUGAAGAACACCUUAGCUAAAUCCCAUACACUUGACAGUUCUUGAAGCUGAGGAUGAAAAAUUGUAAAGUUGCCUUGAUAAAAAGCCAUUUCCCUGCAGGCACUAGCGGGGUUUUGACUAGGCUGAGAAGCCUGGAGUUAGCCCGCUGUUGCUACGCAACAGGAAAGCAUUUGAGGAUUGAAGACUGCUAGAAAGAUACAGGAUCUGCUUGAUCAAGUAGAGAAAAACAUUUUUCCCAACAUGUUGUUUUCAAUUUCAUGUAACAACUUGCCCUUAAAAAUAUAUUUACUUUAAUCCCUGAAGAGAUCUUCCACUGCAUCUUCUUCAUCCACUAAGCAGAUGACCUUACUGUAGAAAGAGAUCAAAUUUCCCUUAAUGGACCCAUGUUCACUAUGUCUGA